GACGAACGCUGGCGGCGUGCUUAACACAUGCAAGUCGAACGGAAAGGCCUCUUUCGGGGGGUACUCGAGUGGCGAACGGGUGAGUAACACGUGAGUAACCUGCCCUUGACUUUGGGAUAACUUCAGGAAACUGGGGCUAAUACCGGAUAGGAGCUCCUGCUGCAUGGUGGGGGUUGGAAAGUUUCGGCGGUUGGGGAUGGACUCGCGGCUUAUCAGCUUGUUGGUGGGGUAGUGGCUUACCAAGGCUUUGACGGGUAGCCGGCCUGAGAGGGUGACCGGCCACAUUGGGACUGAGAUACGGCCCAGACUCCUACGGGAGGCAGCAGUGGGGAAUAUUGCACAAUGGGCGGAAGCCUGAUGCAGCAACGCCGCGUGCGGGAGGACGGCCUUCGGGUUGUAAACCGCUUUCGCCUGUGACGAAGCGUGAGUGACGGUAAUGGGUAAAGAAGCACCGGCUAACUACGU
rnacentral:rRNA from 1 species